UACGGAGGGGGCGAGCGUUAUUCGGAAUUAUUGGGCGUAAAGGGCGCGUAGGCGGCUUGGCAAGUCAGACGUGAAAUCCCUCGGCUUAACCGGGGAACUGCGUCUGAUACUGGAUGGCUAGAGUUUGGGAGAGGGAUGCGGAAUUCCAGGUGUAGCGGUGAAAUGCGUAGAUAUCAGGAGGAAUACCAGCGGCGAAAGGCGGCCUUCUGGACGGUGACUGACGCUGAGACGCGAAAGCGUGGGAGCAAACAGG
rnacentral:rRNA from 1 species